AGAAUCAACGCUGGCGGCGUGCCUAACACAUGCAAGUCGAACGAGAAAGUGGUAGCAAUACCAUGAGUAAAGUGGCGCACGGGUGAGUAACACGUGACUAACCUACCCUGGAGUGGGGGAUAACUGAGGGAAACCUUAGCUAAUACCGCAUAAUACCUACGGGUCAAAGGAGCAAUUCGCUUCAGGAGGGGGUCGCGGCCGAUUAGUUAGUUGGCGGGGUAAUGGCCCACCAAGACAGUGAUCGGUAUCCGGCCUGAGAGGGCGCACGGACACACUGGAACUGAAACACGGUCCAGACUCCUACGGGAGGCAGCAGUGGGAAUUUGCGCAAUGGGGGAAACCCUGACGCAGCAACGCCGCGUGGAGGAUGAAGUCCCUCGGGACGUAAACUCCUUUCGAUCGGGACGAUUAUGACGGUACCGGAAGAAGAAGCCCCGGCUAACUUCGCGCCAGCAGCCGC
rnacentral:rRNA from 1 species